UACGGAGGGGGCGAGCGUUAUUCGGAAUUAUUGGGCGUAAAGGGCGCGUAGGCGGCUCUUUAAGUCAAAGGUGAAAUCCCUCGGCUCAACUGAGGAACUGCCUUUGAAACUGAAGAGCUUGAGUCCGGGAGGGGGUAGCGGAAUUCCCAGUGUAGCGGUGAAAUGCGUAGAUAUCGGGAGGAACACCAGUGGCGAAGGCGACUACCUGGCCUGUUCUUGACGCUGAGGCGCGAAAGCUAGGGGAGCAAACGGG
rnacentral:rRNA from 1 species